GCAAUUAGGAGGUUGGAAUCACUGAUCUCAUCUGAAACUAUAUUCUAUACUGCCACUUUGGGUCAUCCACGGGUUAACAUUUCCUCUGAACAUUCAAGCUCCUUCAAGUUAUUUAUUUAUGUUUUGUCUUCUCUUUUACAGGGUUGAGAAAAUGAAAGAAAAAUAACAUCCCCUUCCCCAAAAGCAUUCACAAUGGAUCUUUGGGAGGAAAUGAGCUUGUGAGCAUGCUUCCCUUAACGCCAAGAGGAGAGGAAGUGCACUUCCAUCCCAGCAGGUACUUCUUCUGCACAUGGAAACCCAAGGAGCCUCACAGCAGGGAAAUCGGGUGGCCUCUGUCCACGCUCCCACUGCUGAUCUAUUCAUUAUGAUCUGAAUUUAGCCUCUUCGCAAUGGAAGGAAGACAGUCUGUAAGGGGCCGAGGCUGGAAACCUUAUGAUGUGCUCCCAUUUUGCAUGUUCAUCACAAGCUAAAAUGAAAAAAGAGUUUCUUUCCUCAGUGACUUUGAAAAGAAUAGAGUGGUGAUUAACAGCAAUAUUUUUUUUAAUGAAACGCAACCCGUCAUCUCUGUCAUCUUCUGGCCAUCCUCGCUUGUACGCGCCUCCCUGACAAGAGGAAUAAUAAUGGUCAUACAUCACUGCUCUGCACGUCCAAUCAUCUAAAUCUUCCCUCGCUGCAGCCUCUGAGACUCAAUUACUUUAUUGACAUGCAAUCUUCAUAAGGGGAGAAAUAUUGUGCAUGUAAGGUCACUUGGUUAUGAAGACAUAUUAUCAUAUUAUCUGCAUGAGGGUUGCAGGGCUAAGACCUGACAGAGCUAAUUAUAAUGGUACAUGAUAGAAAGCUCAGUACACAUUAUUCGCUUCACUGCACUAAAGGUGAGGUAAGUCCAUGACAUCAUGGUUUUUUGAAAAAAUAAUGCAACUUAAGCUUGGAGGCUCUAACUCUUUUUUAACUCCCCGCAUUUUUACUUUUUGGUUCUCACAGACAAUGCAAGAACUAGUUAAUGGAGUCCUCAGAUUUAAGGGAAGGGAGAUGGCAGGCCCAUGUAGUGUGUGUGUGUGUGUGUGUGUGUGUGUGUGUGUGUGUGUACGUGUGUAAUUGUCUUGCUUACUCCCCAUCUAACACCAAGUUUCGGUCCAUUUCCUAGCAAGUCGAAUGAGAAUGACUCAAGGGAGGAAGGUAAAGGGAUACAAAUGGGUCAAUUUGAUAACAGAGUAAAGCUUCCCCUCACCCUCAAUUAACCCCUCUCAGAUCCUUGCCCCUUUCUUUCCCUUGGUCUCCCUGGCAGAGGCUUAUCACACUGAGACUUAGUGCUUCUGGGUAUGAUUUCUUUGUUCAGAUAUAUCAGGUUAUUUAAGUGUUCGCCAUCAGACUCCUGCUAGAAGCUUCAUAUAUGGUUAGUCAGUCCUUCACUUCUUUGCAUCCUCUGCCCAUUUGUCACCCCCAAAUGGGGGGUGAUCCUAGAAAUGGGUCACCCCAGGUUUAUCCCAGAUUGAGAGGCCAGAGAGAGGAGCCCUAGUGGCAAUUUUGCAAGAAGGGAGCAUCAAGGAGAGAAAUCUGGGUCGAGUUUCUGGGUCGUCCAGCCUUGCCACAGUUAACAUGGACCUGGAUGUAAAACUGGCAUAGAUUGGUCUGUGAUGAGUCAUCAUGAAGUCAAAAUCAAGUCAACCUCCAUGGAUGGGUUUGAGAUAGCAUCUGAACCUCAGCCCUGGACACAUGUUCUAAUUUCAGAGGGAUUUAUGAAUUUAUAUACAGGAAUAAAAAAGCCAUUAAGAGUAUCACAAUAAUCCAACAUAGGCUGGCUCCUAGGAUUAUCUCUCCCUCAGCAAAGAACUAAUUCAACAAAGGAGAAGAAAUGACUAAAGUCUUCUAAGCUCCAGAAACUGCCUUGGUCUUCUAAUAUGAGUGCUCUGGCUCCAACAUAAGAAGCACAGAGUAGAACAAAAAAUUGAGGUUACCCAAAUUCUCUCUUACUUAAUACUCUCAUAAUUCACAUUCCUCAAUUUCUGAAACAAAGUGGCUCAAAAAUAAUGAUGACAUUGGUAACAAAGCCACUCAGAGAUGUGGAUUUCUUUUUCUGAGUUGGAAAUUGUACAUAAUAUGAUGUUUAUAUUAAGUAAAUUUGAUCGUAACCCAGGUACAGUAGAAAUGGCAACUCUUUAGACACUAAAAUUUUAGAUUGGCUAUUUUGGAUUAGAUGGUCUCAUGCAUUGCAUUUCUAUGUCCAGCAUCUCAAAUGCAUUUUUGCAAUAGGGAAGCUCACAGUGUAUCCAUUUCCAAAAGUUGAUAUACUAAUUGAUAUAAAAUUGUAUAGUUGGCAGAAAAAGAAUUGGGCUAAGGUUUAAAAGAUUAAAUAUCUACUCUUGACUCAACCACCCAAAAUACAUCCCAUAGUUCCUUAGCCAAGGCAAAAUUUCACUUUACAUGCUGAAGAAAGUACUUGUGAGACACAGUAAAGUAUUCUGAAAAGACUAUGGUGUUGCCUAAUAAACUGCCUUGAAAAUCUGGCCACCAAUUUAUUAGCUUCAUGAUCUUGAGCAAAUUUUUUUGCCUCAAGCCUCAACUGCCCUUCUUUAAAAUGGGUAAUAAGUUGUUCACUUCAAAGGAUUAGUAUGGAAAUGAAAAUACACCUAGUAAAUGGCAGUUAUUGCUACCAUUUUGGUCUUAGUGUGUUUGAAACUGUUUUGCAGGUCAAUUAUGUAAAAAAAAAAAAAAAAAACAUGGAUUGUGAA